rnacentral:tRNA from 1 species
GCCAGUGUGGUGUAGUGGCCUGAGCAUUGGACUAUGACUCUGGAGAUCAGGGUUCAAAUCCCUGCUUGGCCA